AAGNCGUCAGGCUAUAUCCUUGAGGGCUGACGUUACCCACAGAAAAAGCACCGGCUAACUCUGUGCCAGCAGCCGCGGUAAUACAGAGGGUGCAAGCGUUAAUCGGAAUUACUGGGCGUAAAGCGUACGUAGGCGGAUAUCUAAGUCGGUUGUGAAAUCCCUGGGCUUAACCUGGGAAUUGCAUUCGAAACUGGAUAUCUAGAGUAUGGUAGAGGAAAGUGGAAUUCCCGGUGUAGCGGUGAAAUGCGUAGAUAUCGGGAGGAACAUCAGUGGCGAAGGGACUUUCUGGAUCAAUACUGACGCUAAGGUACGAAAGCCUGGGGAUCAAACAGGAUUAGAUACCCUGGUAGUCC
rnacentral:rRNA from 1 species